UACGUAGGGGGCAAGCGUUGUCCGGAUUUAUUGGGCGUAAAGAGCGUGUAGGCGGCCAGGUAGGUCUGCUGUGAAAACUCGAGGCUUAACCUCGAGCUGUCGGCGGAAACCAUCUGGCUAGAGUCCGGAAGAGGAGAAUGGAAUUCCCGGUGUAGCGGUGAAAUGCGUAGAUAUCGAGAGGAACACCAGAGGUGAAGACGGGUUGCUGGGCCGACACUGACGCUGACAGCGCGAAAGCCAGGGGAGCAAACGGG
rnacentral:rRNA from 1 species